rnacentral:lncRNA from 1 species
GUGCCCAACGGUUAGUCCUCAUCCCCAGCGGGAUGGAGACAGGUCUUGCAGAAACCGUCAUAGAAGAUGUCAUCUGCAACAAGUGGGAAUAAACCCUGAGUACGAGAAUGUACUCAGCUACACUUACCCGUCUAGUAAAAUAUAAAAGACACCAAGGAUCAUGCAAGGCUAAAAUAUAAAAGUAGAGCUGGUUGACUCGACAUUUUUGCCAAAAGCCUUUAUUAAGACUAACACAAAGUAAGAGCAUCAUAUUUAUUUAUCAUCAGCCUACCACUAGAUUAGCACCUGUACUACAACACAUCACUUGAUUAUUACAAGCAAUAAUAACCAUAUCAGGUUCAUCAUCUGUUCUUUUUACUAUCAUCAUUCUCAUGAACCAAGUUCAUUAGUGAAUGCUACGUUUGCCGCUGCUCUGUCAAGUUCUCACUGACCGGGAGAGACGGCGAUUCAAAUCGAAUUCCUAUCCAGCUGGAGGGUUAUUCCUAGCACUCACCCAAGCAUCCCCCGUCGGAGAGCCAACGGGUCACCUUUGAUACAACUCAGGAAUCGCGGCUCCGAUCAGCGCCGCACUCCCAGGGCUACCACUCUGCCAGAGAGGUCAGGAAUUUUAACUCACCUGCCUUUGGGCUUACGCCAAUGGUCCCCCACACACCGCACUUCCUCCGGUAGUGCGCACUUUAUACUUGCCGGUCUUCCAGCCUGAGUCAUACUACUCGGCUUCGCGGUCGGAACGAGUUAUCCGGCCGACUAAGUGUUAGGCAUGCGUUCAACAUGACAAGAGGACGUACAACGAUCGGUCCUUAGCUGCCACAGACGGAGUUACUACAAACUUGCAAAACUCUGCCCGGCUUAAGUCAAAUUAAUCAGGUUCCAUCCAUGAUAGCACAUAUAGACCAUCGUGAUCCGACAUAACCCUAUAUCGCGCAGGUGACAGGAUAUCACCUGACUUCUACCGAUUAAAGCAUGGCUAAGCUGCUACUCGAUCCUAACUCUAUAACCGGGUAGUGGUAAGAUAUCUGGACAAGGAUUGAGUAAAACGCAGCAAAGGUUUCAUCACAACUCCUAUACUUAAUGCACCAACAGAUAUAACAUAUUAAUUAAACUUUCAAAAGUAAAGGGAGGCUUAGAAUGCUCCGGGGCUUGCCUUUCACGAACGAAGCUGGCUCGUGACUUGGACACUCAACUUCUUCUUCUGGCUCCUCGGAUCCGACUUGCUGGACCUCCACCUCUUGGCUGCCCUCCUGGCCUUCGGGAUUCACUUGCAGAUCGAAGGAGGCGGCCACGUCCGAUGCACCUAUUGCAUGCUCGAGGAAUAA